rnacentral:tRNA from 1 species
GCCCCCAUAGCUCAGUGGAUAGAGCAGAUCGGUUCUAACGAUAAGGCCGGGGGUUCGAAUCCCUCUGGGGGUA